rnacentral:lncRNA from 1 species
GCUUAAUUCACUCUCCAAUAAACUCUCAUAGAAAGCUAGAUGUCCAGAAGAUACUAAACUCCUACAGUUUUUAUAGAAACCUGAUCAGUGGAUAGUGAAGAAUGGUCCCCAUUGUUGUCCAGUUUAAGCGUUAUGAAGAAAAGCUCAGAAGUUGCUCAUAAAUUGCCCCAGAGGAAUUACAAGCAUAAUUAAUAGUGUUUAACUGAUCAUAGCUUUUAAAAAAGAUGGAGAAUAGUGCUUCCUAUCUACAGUCUAUUUUGCAGGCGGACUGAAAGGGAAGGCUACAGGAACUGUGAGUUCUGGCUGUGCUCUAGACCCUAACUAGUACUGAAGUCCUUACCAGAUCACAUCGUUUUUGAAGCAGGAUUGUGGGGGACAGAAGAAUCAAGUUCCUUGUUUCUUUGGAGCCAUGCUCCCAGACUGGCAGACAAGAUGUACAGAUAAAGAAAACCAAUUUGCAGGGUGCACUGAAGACACUAUACUGCGAUUAUGAGACAGGGGUUACAGGGGCAGUCCUUUGGCUUCUGUCUGCACUAGGCUCCCUGAAGCAAGAGGAGGGCCAACAACUCAUCCUGAUGUGAGAAGAGGCCAAUUCAGUUUCCACUGCAGAAGUAAGAAGGUGGAUGGAUCCAUUCUACUAA